rnacentral:rRNA from 1 species
UACGGAGGGUGCAAGCGUUAUCCGGAUUCACUGGGUUUAAAGGGUGCGUAGGUGGGUUGGUAAGUCCGUGGUGAAAUCUCCGAGCUUAACUCGGAAACUGCCGUGGAUACUAUCAAUCUUGAAUACUGUGGAGGUAAGCGGAAUAUGUCAUGUAGCGGUGAAAUGCUUAGAUAUGACAUAGAACACCGAUAGCGGAGGCAGCUUACUGGGCCGAUACUGACGCUGAGGAGCGAAAGCGUGGGGAGCGAACAGG